AAAUGUGAGGGUGGUCUGGCUGCGACAUCUGUCACCCCAUUGAUCGCCAGGGUUGAUUCGACUGAUCUGGCUGGCUAGGCAGUUGUCCCCUUCCUCCCUCACUGCUCCAUGUGCAUCCCUCCGGAAGCUGCAUGCUCAGUCGACAAGGAUGACCUUCCCCAAAUAGAGGAGGACCAGUCUUCAGACAAGUAACUCCACUCCCCUGCUAGAACCUCCAACCAAGCUCUCAAGAAAGACCUUACAUAGUAUAACAAAUUGUGAUAUACAAAUUAUAAAUCAUCAGAAGAUAUAAUAAUCUACCUAUAUCC
ensembl:misc_RNA 7SK 7SK RNA